AUUGAACGCUGGCGGCAGGCCUAACACAUGCAAGUCGAACGAGUGGCGGACGGGUGAGUAAUGUCUGGGAAACUGCCCGAUGGAGGGGGAUAACUACUGGAAACGGUAGCUAAUACCGCAUACCAUCGGAUGUGCCCAGAUGGGAUUAGCUUGUAGGUGAGGUAACGGCGCACCUAGGCGACGAUCCCUAUCUGGUCUGAGAGGAUGACCAGCAAGUCGGGAACUGAGAAACGGGCCAGACUCCGAUGGGAGGCAGCAGUGGGGAAUAUUGCACAAGGGGCGCAGGCCUGAGGGAGCCAGGCCGCGGGUAGGAAGAAGGGCUUCGGUGUGUAAAGUACGUUCAGCGGGGAGGCGUUAACAGCAGAAGAAGUACCGGCUAACUCCGUGCCAGCCGCCGCGGUAAUAC
rnacentral:rRNA from 1 species